CCUACGGGAGGCAGCAGUGAGGAAUAUUGGUCAAUGGGCGGAAGCCUGAACCAGCCAAGUCGCGUGAGGGAUUAAGGCCCUGCGGGUCGUAAACCUCUUUUGCCGGGGAGCAGUGGUCCGGACGCGUCCGGACCGGGAGAGUACCCGGAGAAAAAGCAUCGGCUAACUCCGUGCCAGCAGCCGCGGUAAUACGGAGGAUGCGAGCGUUAAUCGGAAUUACUGGGCGUAAAGGGUGUGCAGGCGGUUUUGCAAGAUGGAUGUGAAAGCCCCGGGCUUAACCUGGGAAAGCCAUACAUGACUGCAAGACUAGAGUGCGUCAGAGGGGGGUGGAAUUCCAAGUGUAGCAGUGAAAUGCGUAGAUAUUUGGAAGAACACCGAUGGCGAAGGCAGCCCCCUGGGACGCAACUGACGCUCAUACACGAAAGCGUGGGGAGCAAACAGGAUUAGAUACCCUUGUAGUC
rnacentral:rRNA from 1 species